AUUGGGAAGUGGGGAUAACUCCCCUUGUGAAACGGUAGCUAAUACCGCAUAACGUCGCAAGACCAAAGAGGGGGACCUUCGGGCCUCUUGCCAUCAGAUGUGCCCAGAUGGGAUUAGCUAGUAGGUGGGGUAAUGGCUCACCUAGGCGACGAUCCCUAGCUGGUCUGAGAGGAUGACCAGCCACACUGGAACUGAGACACGGUCCAUACUCCUACGGGAGGCAGCAGUGGGGAAUAUUGCACAAUGGGCGCAAGCCUGAUGCAGCCAUGCCGCGUGUGUGAAGAAGGCCUUCGGGUUGUAAAGCACUUUCAGCGAGGAGGAAGGUGGUGAGCUUAAUACGCUCAUCAAUUGACGUUACUCGCAUAAGAAGCACCGGCUAACUCCGUGUCAGCAGCCGCGGUAAUACGGAGGGUGCAAGCGUUAAUCGGAAUUACUGGGCGUAAAGCGCACGCAGGCGGUUUGUUAAGUCAGAUGUGAAAUCCCCGGG
rnacentral:rRNA from 1 species